AUACGUAGGGAGCGAGCGUUGUCCGGAAUUACUGGGUGUAAAGGGAGCGUAGGCGGGAGAUCAAGUUGAAUGUUAAAUCUAUUGGCUUAACUAAUAGCUGCGUUCAAAACUGAUUUUCUUGAGUGAAGUAGGGGCAGGCGGAAUUCCUAGUGUAGCGGUGAAAUGCGUAGAUAUUAGGGGGAACACCAGUGGCGAAGGCGGCCUGCUGGGCUUUUACUGACGCUGAGGCUCGAAAGCAUGGGUAGCAAACAGGAUUAGAUACCCUGGUAGUCCAUGCCGUAAACGAUGAUUACUAGGUGUGGGGGGUCUGACCCCUUCCGUGCCGCAGUUAACACAAUAAGUAAUCCACCUGGGGAGUACGGCCGCAAGGUUGA
rnacentral:rRNA from 1 species